UACGUAGGGGGCGAGCGUUGUCCGGAAUUACUGGGCGUAAAGAGCUCGUAGGCGGUUUGUCGCGUUGUUCGUGAAAACUCACAGCUCAACUGUGGGCGUGCGGGCGAUACGGGCAGACUGGAGUACUGCAGGGGAGACUGGAAUUCCUGGUGUAGCGGUGGAAUGCGCAGAUAUCAGGAGGAACACCGGUGGCGAAGGCGGGUCUCUGGACAGUAACUGACGCUGAGGAGCGAAAGCGUGGGGAGCAAACAGG
rnacentral:rRNA from 1 species